GAUGAAGAACGCAGCGAAAUGCGAUAAGUAAUGUGAAUUGCAGAAUCCCGUGAACCAUCGAGUCUUUGAACGCAAGUUGCGCCCGAAGCCACUAGGCCGAGGGCACGCCUGCCUGGGCGUCACACGCCGUUGCCCCCCCAUCUACUCCUUCGGGAUUGCGGGGGGGCGGAUGAUGGCCUCCCGUGCGCCUAGCCGCGCGGUUGGCAUAAAUACCAAGUCCUCGGCGACGCACGCCACGACAAUCGGUGGUUGCGAAACCUCGGUUGCCCGUCGUGUGCGUUCGUCGCGCAUCGAGGGCUCGAAAAAAUGCUCGGCUCCGGCUGGGCUUUCAACGCGACCCCAGGUCAGGCGGGGUUACCCGCUGAAUUUAAGCAUAUCAAUAAGCGGAGGA
rnacentral:misc_RNA from 1 species